rnacentral:rRNA from 1 species
UACGUAGGGCGCAAGCGUUGUCCGGAAUUAUUGGGCGUAAAGAGCUCGUAGGCGGUCUGUCGCGUCUGCUGUGAAAACUCAGGGCUUAACCCUGAGCUUGCAGUGGGUACGGGCAGACUAGAGUGCGGUAGGGGUGACUGGAAUUCCUGGUGUAGCGGUGGAAUGCGCAGAUAUCAGGAGGAACACCGAUGGCGAAGGCAGGUCACUGGGCCGCAACUGACGCUGGAGGAGCGAAAGCAUGGGGAGCGAACAGG